rnacentral:lncRNA from 1 species
AAAGUUUCAUGUUUUACUACAAAUGAAAUAUUUGAAAGUUCACAGCACUUACCUCCAAGGCAGAUGUCAACAAGAAACUUAGUUUGGUCUUAUUAUUAUGAAAUAUAUAUAGCUGAUGAAAUAAUAGGGGAGUUUGAAGAACAAGACAGUUGACGCAUGAAGGGUGAGGGUUGUUGGCAUAGGAGAAACAGAAACUGUUGGGCCAAGGGACUGAAAGGAAGGAGAAUUCUAGCAGUAAGAAAACCAAUUAGAUGUUUCAUAUUGCAUAUUAUAAGUUCAUUCAGAAUUCUUGUUUUAUGGCUUCUUUGAAAAUGACAGUGUUUAGGAAAAUGAAAUGAGAAUGAUCUGAUUUUGUUUAUAGCUGAUAAGUGCGUAGAAGGAAGCAGAAUAUAAGCAGAGAGGAAGCAAGAGCAGCUUUUCCACAUCCAUUUUUCCAAUCUUGUCAGGCAUAUAAGACAACCCUUCAUCAUGACCUGUCAAUGUCAGCACCUCCACUCUCUCCCAGGGGUGAGCAGCUUCCUGAAAAUCCUAUUACUGCCUCACAACCCAAAUCCCCUUUGCUUCUUGGAUUUCACUCCUUUGUCUGUUUUCUCACUUUUUUCCUUCAUUUUAUAGCCCGUCAAACAAGAUUUCUGACAAAUUCACAACGAUUGAACGCUGUUUUGCAUCUGCACUGCAGUCACCAACAACUUCCGUUGUACACACUACACUCUUCACUGUUUCCUGCCAGAAUCACAAAAGUAUUCUUCCAUUGA